rnacentral:rRNA from 1 species
AACGAACGCUGGCGGCAGGCCUAACACAUGCAAGUCGAGCGGCGACUUCGUUUCUAGCGGCGGACGGGUGAGUAACGCGUGGGAAUGUUCCCUUCUCUACGGAAUAGUCCUGUGUAACUGGGGGUAAUACCGUAUACGCUCCGUUAGUGAAAGAUUCAACGGAGAAGGAUCAGCCCGCGUUGGUUUAGCUAGUUGGUGUUGGAAGGGCCUAUCAAGGCUUGGAUCCAUAGCGGGUUUGAGAGCAUGAGCCGCCACACUGAGACUGAGACACGGUCCAGAAUCUUAGGGGAGGCAGGAGUGGCGAAUCCUAGACAAUCGCGGCAAUGAUGAUCGAGCCAGGCCGGGAGAGUGAUGAAGGCCGUAGGGAAGUACAGCUCUUUCAGACGGCACGAUAAUGACGGUACCAGCAGAAGAAGCACCGGCUAACUCCGUG